CCUGGACGUUCAACAUUUAACACAUUUCAUGGUAGCAGAUUUUCAGGAUAUACACGUUCAUCAAUCCCAGACGAUAACUAUAGCAACAAACUGUCCAAACCCUUUGCUCCUAGUGUAGACAGACGUACCAAGCCACCGAUUCCAUUCCCUGGAUCAUCAAAUCCUGGAA